rnacentral:rRNA from 1 species
CCUACGGGGGGCAGCAGUGGGGAAUAUUGCACAAUGGGGGAAACCCUGAUGCAGCGACGCCGCGUGAGUGAGGAAGUAUUUCGGUAUGUAAAGCUCUAUCAGCAGGGAAGAAAAUGACGGUACCUGACUAAGAAGCCCCGGCUAACUACGUGCCAGCAGCCGCGGUAAUACGUAGGGGGCAAGCGUUAUCCGGAUUUACUGGGUGUAAAGGGAGCGUAGACGGAGGAGCAAGUCAGAUGUGAAAUCCCGCGGCUCAACCGCGGAACUGCAUUUGAAACUGUUUUUCUUGAGUACCGGAGAGGUCA